rnacentral:rRNA from 1 species
GACGAACGCUGGCGGCGUGCUUAACACAUGCAAGUCGAACGGAAAGGCCCUGCUUUUGUGGGGUGCUCGAGUGGUGAACGGGUGAGUAACAAGUGAGUAACCUGCCCUUGACUUUGGGAUAACUUCAGGAAACUGGGGCUAAUACCGGAUAGGAGCUCCUGCUGCAUGGUGGGGGUUGGAAAGUUUCGGCGGUUGGGGAUGGACUCGCGGCUUAUCAGCUUGUUGGUGGGGUAGUGGUUUACCAAGGCUUUGACGGGUAGCCGGCCUGAGAGGGUGACCGGCCACAUUGGGACUGAGAUACGGCCCAGACUCCUACGGGAGGCAGCAGUGGGGAAUAGUGCACAAUGGGCGGAAGCCUGAUGCAGCAACGCCGCGUGCGGGAUGACGGCCUUCGGGUUGUAAACCGCUUUCGCCUGUGACGAAGCGUGAGUGACGGUAAUGGGUAAAGAAGCACCGGCUAACUACGUG